GGGCUGGGUACCCCCGCAGGCUGCCGGAGCCCGUGGAUGUUUGCACCGGGCGGGGAGGCUCCCCGCCGAGCUGCAAUGGACGCUGCCCGCCGCUGGCCGCAGAGCGGAGCCGGAGCCGCCGCCGCCGCCGCCGCCGAGGGAGAGCUGCUCGCCCGGAGCCGGCCCGCAGCGCGCCCGGCGCCGAAGAGGGACGGGGGGGUCUCCUCUUCGGCAACGCUCCGGUGAACGUAGGCUCUGCAGCCGGCCGCCCAGAUAGGUGGCAUGGCAGCCACGGCUCGAGCGAAUAGAACUCCUUGCAUGAAUCGGAAGGAAGCACCGGGAGCAUUCGGUGAUGUCCGUGGGAGGAAGGCACAAGCCACCACCAAGGCCCUUUUCCCUCCAUCUUGAGCCUUCCGUGGUGAUUUGCAGCAGCACAGGGAAGUACGAAGCACCGAGGGACUGAUGUCAGUGUUUAAAUCUGAUUUCACUUCAGCAUAAAUGACCAUGCAAGGUUCAGAUCAGCGGAGGACCAGGGGUAGAAUAGCAGAAGUACUUAAGGUGCCUCUUUUAAAAGUUCUCUUUUGUGUAUCUAAAGAUUAAGGAGCUAUUUAGAAAAGAUGACUCUGCACAUGUGUUUUGUUUACUAUCCUAACAGAAGAUGAUGGUCUGCAUUAUCUUACAUGCUAGAUACAUCUUGGGUGAAUCUGUAUCACCUUAUUGAUUUCAGGGUAGCUCUAUUAAGUUAGUUAAGGAACUAACCCAGCUAAGUUUUAAAUAAUUGGAAUAAUAUUCUCCCUCUCUUUCGGUCAGAUUUGCCCUUCAUGCUACUUGUGUUUCAUAAUCCUCCUAGCUCUCUAUUUCAUCAUUGCAAGACUAGCAUCUCUAUUGGAAAAAAAAAAAAAAAAAGAGGAGGAAAAAAACCCUUAAAAGAUAGUCUUUUUACAAUCCGAUCUUUAUUUUCAUGUUUAAAUAAAUUUACGGCACAAACUCAUCCUGUUUUUUUAAUAGGCCAAUUUAGUUUCAUUUACUUACACUGGUAUUUUUUAGAGCCAGAAGCUCUCAGGAAGAGAAUGUGUUCGAUGCACCAGAACCCUUUAGGGUUUUGAUGAAAGAUAUGAUAUCAUGAGUAACAUCUCCACUUCUGUUAUUCUUCUUACAUUGUAGCGACAAGAUUGAAUCACCAUUUUUAGCUAUUCUUCAGCAGAACUCGUAGUCUAUCAAUGUGUCAGCUCAACAGCAGUUUUCUCUUCACACUAAUGUGAACCAGAAGGUCCAGCUAUCACUGAUUUUGACAAUUUUAUUUUGUCUGAGAUUGCGUGUAUUGCAGAAGUUUGAAGAAAAUGAAUUAUAUGACCUAUUAUAUUUUCCUAAAGAUCUGCAAAACAUAAAAUAUGUCAUCUAAAACAUUUCACGCUCAUUUGUACCAGGUAACAUUCCUAAGUUAGGUGUUUCAUAAGCCUUAAGCUAUAAGCACUAUAAAAUAUUUGUGUGAUAAAUAACAAGUAUAAGAUCAAAUGUGGGUCCCCUAUUUUUUUGAAUGCCUCAGAUAGCUGUCUGUGGUGUUACAUAAUGCAUCAUAAAGAAAUACGUGCCUUCAUUCUCUUUAAAUCACUCCAGCAUAGAUAGUACUAAGCCUUCCUUCAACUCCUUGUUAUGCAAGUCCUUGCUACUGUUAAUAGCUGUCAGCUCUGCAUGGUUACUUAAAAAACAAGGUAACGGCAGACUUUUUGUAAAGCUCCUUCCAUUUCUGGAAUUUACGAGUCAGUUCCAGGUGCGUUGCUCCCUUUCUCAACUAUAAACUAAAUUAUUAUGAACAAACAGUUUUUUCCCCAUUAGAAGAAAGUCCCAUUCAUUCCAGUACAUCACAAGGUAAUCUCUUUUUUUCUUUAGUUGCAUCUAUAAGCAUAUUAUGAGUAUCUGAAUGCACUUGUCCGGUGUCAAAGCACAGUGGAACAGAGCAGAAUGCAGUAAUAUUUUGAAUGUCUGUUAGAAAAUGCAGGCAUAUAACUAAGUACUGAAAAAACACGUAGCAUAGUAAAAAAUCCACAACCAAUGUAGCAGAGCUGUUAGAUAACAAAAAAUCCAUAUAGGCAUUAAGUACUAUUAUUGAAAGUAAAAUCUAUGUUAUACAGUAUAAGCAGCAUUCAAGUGAAAUUGAUGAGACAUCUAUAUAGAACAGAAAGAACCAUUUUUUAAAGCUAUGAUGUUAUGAUGUUCUGUAUUUCUUUACUUGGGAAAUGGAAUUUUCCUUGUCUUUUCGUAAAGGCAUAAAAUUAACAACAAGCACUUCAGAGAAUUAGGUGCACUGCCUGAUUUGUGGUGGGUUUUUUUUCCUCUGUCAAACGUAGAGAUCAUUGGUGGAAAAAAAUCAGGAGAAACCUGUCUGGGUUUUCCAAUAUCAUGGAGAUCUUUCCAAGAACUCUGUCCUUUAACAAGGCCUCAGUUUUAAAGAUACUGAAAUAGGAAUAUCUCAAAAUUUGUAAUACUGGCUAUAUAAAGAAAAAUUUUGCUCUCAGUUUAUACUUGUAGAAGCAUACGUGUAGUAACUCAGUGAUGUGUCACCAGGAAAGGAGGGGUUUGUUUCAUAUUCUACUAAUAGAUGUAUUAGUUUACCAAUCCUCUAUUGCAUUUUUACAUUUUUGUUACCUUUUUGUUGCUCUUGUAAAUUUGGCGUACUAGCUUAUUUGUUUAUUUCCCUUUUCCUACUCAAUUAUUUUAAAAGGUUCAACUAUAUUAUGUUCAGGGUUUGGUACGACACAUGGAAAAUAUUUUUUUUAUUCCUUUUGCAAGCAGUAGGUUGGUGGGAGGAGGUCUGCACUAUAAAAUAGUAUACUUACUAAAUUGUACUCCACUGGGAGAUUAAAUAAGAAAGAGCAGAACGGCUGAGACAAGUCAUUUGUCACAGAUGUUCAUGCAGUUCUGGUAUUUUGUUUAAAGCUGGAUUCAUCAAACAUGAUAAGGAGUAAUUUCUGUCUGAUAUCAAGUUUCCAUCCAAGGAGACUAAGUGGGUUAAGUUUAAACUGUGGUUUGAAAAUACAGGGAAAUGUUACUGGACAGUUGACAGCUUGAUUCGGUAGCCAAAGUGGAUGCAAGAAACAAAAUUGGAGAAUGCUAUUUUUGCAGUGUCUAAAAUAUGUCAGUUCAGAAGUCAGCAGGAAAAUGCAUCACAAAUAUAUUACUGUGGAGCAGAGUUAUGUUAGCUACAAGAUGCUUUUGUCUAUGAAGCACAAAGAUUUUACCAUAAACAUUUGAAUUACGUAGAUUAUAAAGGGUACCGAUGCUGUUGGAGAGCAAGUGUGAAAUGUUCGUACGAUAACCUCCGAUACUUAAGUGGCAUUUACUGACUGCUUUUACCGUAUUUCAUAAGUUUGUAACAGAAUUUUAGUAAUAACACUUAGUGAAAAUGCACGAGGUAAGCACUAGUGUAAUAUUUAUUUCGGUUUUUUUAGAUAGGCUGAUUAUCAUAUUUAUUAAAGUAGAAUAUAAAUGAGAAGGCCCAGGACUAAGAUUACUUUAAAAGGGAGAUUUUUAAAAAUGAGUAUCAGACUCAUUCUUAGUUUGUAUUAGUUGCAAUCUCUUUUAAUAUAAUUUUCCCUUUUGUAAGUUCCUUUCUGUCUCUCUUCCUUCAGAAAUACUAUUCCCCUGCCCUGAAAGGGGGAAAUGGAAUGGCUACGAUUGGCUUCUGUUUACUGGAGCAAAAUGAUUUUUUUCCCAAACUGAAAUAUAUGCAUUAAUUUGCUAGACUACCAGCUAUUUUCACCUAUGGUACUUCUGAGAAAUAGAUAGUGAUGUCCAUUUUAAAUGCAGCUUACUACGUUAUAGCAUCUGUAAUCUAGCGUUUUUCUCUUUGGUAGUCAGAUAUACAGAAUUGUCAGCCUGUUUGCGUUUAAGUACCUGAAAGCUGAAUUGGAAAAAAUAUUUUUGAUACAAUAAGUUUGGCUUUUCAGUCUGUACUUCCUUUUGAGUUUUCUAAGUAAAUGCUACAUAGACUAUCAGAAAAAUCGAGGCUUACAUAAUCAAGCCAUACAUUUUUUCUACUGCCUCCCUUCCCCCACUUAGCUUUCAUUUUACUCUGAAAAAUGAAAAAUUUUGAAUAGAAAAUUACUAUGACAUACUGCUUAUAUACACAUUUUCAUUAGACUGCAUAGCUAAGCUAUUCAUAUGUAUUUAGUAAAAGAAAGCAGUAAGCAAAAUAUUAAAACCUUGAGGUGGCUAAACUUUAAAAUUAUAGUGAUCAUUAAAUACAGCAUUAUCUAAUAUGAUGUACCUAGCUGUGUAACAGUGAGUCUUCUUUCUUUGCAUGGGGAAUUAGGGAACUUCUGUGUAUUUCUUAUUCAAAAAGAAAAAUAAGAAUGUCGUACCCCAUUUUUUUUACUCGUCGUAAAGCUGAUGCUCCUUCGUAAGGGAGUUGGUUUUAAUACCCAGCUUUCAGAGGGUGAGCAGUGAUUAUUGUUGACAAAAUGUAUAGCAAAUGAAUCAAAACUCCGUCCUGCUAGAUAAUUACAAAUUGAAUUAAUUACAAAGAAUAAUAUUAAAAUUUUAUCUAAAUAUGUUAACAUGAACUCUUACCCAUAGGUGGCAGUCAACUUUCACUGUAGUAGGGAUGCCAAACUUUUGGUUCAUGGUAUUCAUACUUAUGCUGAAAUAAUUUUGGUGGGGUAUGCGUAUAUGCAUGUACGUAAGUAUAUACAUGAAUGUGUGUUGAGAGAGGGGGAAGGAGGUAAAAUUAACCCUAGAAUUAAUUAGGAGGAAUCUGAAUUGUUAUAUGUAAGCAAAAGGAAUUAUAUUCUGGAGAAAAGAUCGAGGUAAUUUUAAAACCACACAAACAAUUUUUUAUCUCUCCAUUGCUGAUGCUCAUCUAAAUGAAGUAGUGAUAAUUCAAAAACGAGCAGGUGCCCCUACAAAUUGAGCAGAAAGGCAAGUAUCUCACCAGCCUUAGAGAACACGACCCCAUACCAUGCCCAAUGCUCCAAACUACAUUUCUGUUUCGUCGCCCAUUAUCUGUAAAUUACAGAAGUGCCACAGUGACGACACUCUGCCCUGGAAAUCCCAGCAAUAAGCUGCCUUAAACAUUGAGCAAAUACAGAAAAGGUGCUCUGGGUGAAGGUGUCCUUUCAGACGUGGAGAGCGAGCAAAACCUGUGGGCUGUGGUUCUCCUUCUCUUUCCGGAGCUGCCAUUGACACUGCCUGCGAGAGCAGAGAUCUGCUCAGUUUUGCCCUCAGCUUUGUUAGGGCUUUAUGCGGUUUAUGGGGAUUUCCUUCUGCAAUACUGCUAAGGAGGCGCUUGGGACCCCACCAAAAGUGGAGGGGUUAGAAGGAGCUAAUAAGGCCAGAUCAUCUCAGUCUAAAACAAACAGAAUUUGUGAAACUACACAAGUGACAUACUAAAAUGGUAGCGCUCUUCUGAGAAAAGAAGACCGAAAACUGAAAUUCAUGAGUAGGUAAAGUCAUACUCUUUUUACUAUUACAGCUACACUGGGACUCUCUUCAGUUAAGAUUAAUCUAAUAUUGUGUCAAGGUAGGCCACUGUACACAUUUAGCAGAGGUCAGGAACUAGCAUUUUACAAAAUGGAAAAUUGGAAAAAUAUACAAUUAUAUGUUGCUACUACAGUGUUUUACUGUGAUGCAAGAUUAAGGGCUCAGAAUUGAGCGGAAUGGUGCAGUAUUAUUAAAACAGAAGGCCUAAUUCUCCUUAUGCAAGAGUCGCAGCAACACACAUCAUUGUAUAAGCCAAAGCAGGCAGUACGAUUUCAUAGUCAAACAGGGUAUUUCCACACACAUGCAACCAUGAUGUGACUAAUUAGAUACUUGCAUAUGCACAGCCCCAUUUGUUCCCCAACUGUAAUAAUUAGGAGGAUUGCACUCCAUGUUAAUUUACACUCUUGUGUAACACUAUUGAAUACAAGAUAGCAGGUGGUGAUAAACUGGCUGGUGUGUAAAUUUGAUACGCAUUUUGAAAAUCAGAGCUUUCGUAGUCAGCUCUGACCUUGACGUAGGCAAGACUGGAGAAGACCUCCGCAGCCGUCAGGCCUGAUCCCAGCUAUUGCAGGCAGCCAUGUUGCACUGUUCAACUUAAUCGCAGAGGUACCAGACUCCAUCUUGAAGCUACCCUUAUCAUGAGGUUGCUCCUCGUUUUCCAUUCCUCUGAAUAGUUGAAGAUUUCAGAUAAUGUGUAUCAUGAGCAGCUGAACCUCUCGUGUUCUGCGAGGUCUUUGACUUCUGUUUAAAGAACACUUCUCUCUCCUGGUAUAAAGUCGCUUCCAAUCUGUCACCCCUUGAGCUUUCUUAGGUUACUGCCAAAACCUGCUCAGCCUCAGUUCAGCCAAAACAGCCAUGCCAUACCUGUCGUAGAGGAGGGUGCUUUUCCCUGACCAUUCUUCUAACCUUCCUUUAUGCCUUUUCCACUUUCAGUAAAUCUCUUUUAACACGCAGGGUUAGAAGUAGACACAUCGAGAUAAGAUGUUGCCAGGGCCUCUCGUGGUGGCAUUAAUACUUUCCUAUCCCUGCUAGAUAUACAGCAACUAAUAUUUUGAUUUUUUAAAAUUUUUAUAUUCAGAACUGCCUGCUAUCAACAUCUCACAGGCCACGAGGACUGACCAAAACAUCCAACUUACCUUUUUUAUGGAUGCUGAUAGCAAAAUUUCUUCUUACUCAUUCCUAGUUUAUGACCUUGACCUUUGCACUAUUGUACUGGUAUUGCAUGACAAGAGUGUCAAAAGGCUUUUUUGUAAGAAGGGUGUCAUCAGUUUCUUCCAAACUACAGGCUUCCUGUGAAUUUUCUGGCGUGUCCAGAUUUGUUCAGGAAUCUUUACGCUUUGCACGACUACGGACGUGAGGUGGCACAUGCACAUGAUACGGCGCAGGGCUUUACAGGUGAGCUAGCUUGGCUCAUGAAACAGAGUUGUCUCUAGUAUUACGUUACCUCAGGCACAUCGUAGUGUGUUAUUUCAGGUAAGCCUUCAGAAAGUUGUACAGUACGUCUGACUCGGUGUCAUGCACUGGCUUCAUUUGACAGUUCUGGGCGCAAGAGACAAAAUUCUGAAGUAUUUUUCCAGGAUCAACAGAAGAGAUGGACUUAGUGUCACAUUAUAUUGUUUCUAUUGAUCUGUAGGUUAAUCUCCAGUUCACAAGUUAUGCCUGUGAGAUUGAAGGGAGAGCAGGAUGUACAAGAGUUGUGUGGCACUCUUGAAUAACAUGGAAAAAUAAGAAUUAUUUUUUUUAUAGAAGAAUCUGGAGGGUUUCAGUGGUUGUGUUUCUGGAAGUUAAGUAACAUUAUGACUAUCUCUAAUUAAACAAGCAAAAAUCUAUUUUUCUUUCUUCUCUUUGUCUUCCCUUGGAACUUGCUCUAUGAAAUUUCUAUUGUGGCAUUUUUAUAUAGCAAUUUUAUUUGAUAUAUUUUACUUCUGUGCUUGUGGGACCACUAAGAAACUUGACCACUGUGGUUUAUCUUUAUAGCGAAAAUACCAUACUGAAGAACUUUUGCUAGGUUUGGUGUAUGCCGAGUUCCAGGAUAUUGAGUCAAGCCCAGCAUGUAAAAUUACUUUUGUGCCCUUUGUUAUACGAUAUUGCAGCCCCUCUUUGUGCAAACAGUACCCCAGCUUGUCAUCGGCUGAUCUUUCCUAGGUUAAGGUAGUCAGUGAAAAUAAUUAGCAAGAUCUGUCUGGGAUCGUUCUUUAAGGAUGUCCACUAUCAACUUUCCUCUAGCCUGAGACUUCCCUUUCAAAACUACUUAGCAAGCUUUUAUUCAAAUUAAGAGUUAAUUUAGUAAUUGCUGUCUUCCUUAGGUUUUGGGGUUUUUUUUCCAAGCAGCAUACUAACAAAUGUUUUCCUGAAAUGCAGUCAGAUUAGGUCAACUCAUUUCCUUGAUGUAGAAAAGUAGGGUUUGGUGUUUUUUUUAAAUGUCCAGCUAGUGUGCCAUAACGUAUUCUUAGGAAAGCUUUGUAGCGUUUUUCUUAUUUUCUAUUUAUCCAAUUUUAUCAUAUGCUUCUUUGCAUCCAAGUUCUUGGUGGGCGGUCCCAAUUUUUCCCUUUUUAAACUCUGAUUAAUUCUGAAAUCCUAUUUGAGGUGGCUGCUCUUCUACUUGGAUUCAAGGACCAAUCUGUACAAAUUUUCCCACCUAGAAAUUAAGAAAGCCAGAAUGAAACUAAUUUUUUUUGCUAUUUAAUCUCCAUCUAAAGGAUUCAUGGAGAAGGUCACUCACAGAGAUGGUGGUUAAACAUGGAUUUUCUUGGAGUCUUUAGCAUGUAGCUGAGAAGACCAUAGACAUAAGAGCCUCUAAAUCCUGCAGUUUACUGCUCCAAGACUUUCACACUUCACUUCUAGUCCAGCCAAGGGCUGGUCAUAUCUUGGAGGUUUCAUAAAGUCUUAAGAAGAAAGUGAACAUAGCUAAACAACUUGGUUAAGGUUGCUAUACAUUAAAAGGCAUCCUUUAAAAACCUGAGGUUACACCCAAAUGAAGAAAACAGAAAAGAACUUCUAUCUGGCAGGCUAUAUAUGUAAAAAUGCUAUUAACUGUAUCAAAAAAUGAGUUCAAGGAAAAGCUCACUGGCUCACAUGGCACUACAUUUUAGCAAUGGCUCUAGAGAAAGAUACAGGUAACUACAGACCAUUAGGCCUGAUGACCAAGCCAGGUGAACUAGUUAAAGAAAAGAAUUAGUGAACAAAUGGGUAAGUAAGUGUGACUUAGGGAAUGAAACAGGCAGCUUUUGUGAAGGGAAGCGAUGCCUUGCAAGUCCCCCUGUACAGGGAGAGGAGGUCUGGUCGACACCCCUACAAACAAUUUAAAAAAGACAUUUGGCAUUGUCCUGCUCUCGGCUGGGAUAGAGUUAAUUUUCUUUCUAGUGGCUGGUAUAGUGCUGUGUUUUGGGUUCAGUAUGAGAAGAAUGUUGAUAACGCACUGAUGUUUUCAGUUGUUGCUAAGUAGCAUUUACACUAAGUCAAGGAUUUUUCAGCUUCUCAUGCCCAGGCAGCAAGAAGGCUGGAGGGGCACAAGAAGUUGGGAGGGGACACAGCCAGGGCAGCUGACCCAAACUGGCCAAAGGGGUAUUCCAUACCAUGUGAUGUCAUGCCCAGUAUAUAAACUGGGGGGAGUGGGCCUGGGAGGGAUCGCUGCUCAGGAACUACCUGGGCAUCAGUCAGCGGGUGGUGAGCAACUGCAUUGUGCAUCACUUGUUUUGUAUAUUUUAAUUCUUUUAUUAUUAUUAUUAUUAUCAUUAUCAUUAUUAUUUUCUUCCUUGUCUGUCCUAUUAAACUGUCUUUAUCUCAACCUACGUGUUUUACUUUUUUUUCCGAUUCUCUCCCCCAUCCUGCUGGGGGGGAGAGGAGUGAGCGAGCAGCUGCGUGGUGCUUAGUUGCUGACUGGGGUUAAACUACGACAGACAUCUUUUACCAAAGGCUCUCAAAGAAAUUAAGCUGCAUGGGCAAAGAGGCAGCUUCUCACGUGGACAAAUAACACAUGAAAAGAGAGAAAGCAAAGGACAGAAAUGAACGCUCACUUUUCAUGGUGAUGGGAGACAAAGAGCAGAGCCCCUCCACUGGCAUUAUACAGCGUGCUCAGAAAUGUUCUGGGAAGGAGCAUGAACAAAAGUUGCAGAGAUUACUGUCAACACAAAGACAGGACGAGGGAAAACACCGUGAAGCUGAGUGACUGAGGAACAAAACAGCAGAUGAACCUCGGUGUAGAUAACUGCACUGUGACACACAAGGGGAAAUGAGGGGGUCUCAGCUGGCUGUUACCCUUCCGGAGCAGCGUCGUGGGGCUGUAAUAGAUGCUUCCACGAAAACAUCAAUGUGCUGCUUGGCAGCGGAUCAAAAAGCAAGCAAAGUGUUAGGAAUUACAAAGAAAGGGACAGGGAACAAAAUAAAAAAACCCCACCAUGAUUAUGGUGCUCUGUAAAACUUUUCUUCCACUUUCCAAGCCUUGCACAUGUUUCUUUGGCCUGGCUGCCUUUAACAUAAAUGCAUAGCAACGUGUGUUUAAAAAACAUUGCAAAAUCAAAGCUAGAAAGCCAAUAUCAGACAAACAAACAAAACCCACUGUACUAAAAGAAGACAACAGUUUGCUUCACAGGCCUCUCCCCCACCUUCAGAAAGGCCAAGAGGAAAAGAAACAGCAUAAGAGGGUAGCCGUGGCACUGCUGGAAACAUACCAAGGAGUGAUGAAGGAGACAGCAGAAUGUGAAACCUUUAUUAUCGUUAUAAUGUGGCAAAAAAUAAAAGGAAUCAGUUAAGCAACUGCAAUCAAGGUGGUAAUACGACAAGUCUAUUUGAGCAGCAGAUACCCAGAAGAGCACACCUUCUGUGCCAUAAACCCAGGCAGAGCACAAAUGCUCAAAAGCAGUUGUUGAACUGAAGCAUAUGGACCUCCUAAGAAACCGGGAUUCCUGUGGUGCCUACCUAUGCCACGGUCCUUUUCCUUCCAGAGGUCUCUCGGAGAAGUUGCCCGCUGUCACCCAGCAGGCCAGCAGCAGGGCAGGGCUCGUGUCCCCUGAGCCCCGUCCCACCGAGCGGGAGCAGACCGAGUGCCUGGCCCUUUUGGCCAGGUGAAGGUGGGUGAGUGCGACAUGACUUAACUUCAGACUGGGUGCGAUGCAAGCUGAAAGCAAAAUACUCACGAUGUCCCCUUUCUGUCGGGGAGCUUAAUGAAAGUCCCACUGCCAACUGCAAAAUCUGGAGGCCUGAUUUGAAGGGUGCCACUCUUUAACCUUGGGGCAUGGCCAUAGAGAUAAAAGCAGAGAGUGGCAGAGUAUAGUAAUCUUCAGGACGUGUGGCAUCGUUAUCCUCAGAUGCUGCAUAAGCCUGGUACAGUAGCUCCUACCGUAUCUUGUUUUGAACUUGAACUAUACCUUCUUUAGGGCAGAGAAAAGUUUUCAAAAUUGCCUGAACAUCAUAGCAUUUUUAAAGAAAACAAGCAAACAAACCGAAGAGCCAAGAUCUCCAGCUCGGCGCCACUCAGCUGACAUCAGCCUCUUUGCACAAGGAGGGAGCGUAGCCUGGACCUGCUGUAGCUGUAUCACUACAGAUGAAAAACAAAAGCAAGAUUUCCACCGACCAGGGUUUUUGUCUGAAAAGGACAUCUGCUUUCUGUACGCAUACUAGCACCACCUGAGCGAUGGGGCAAGUUUUAUUUCCUGGUGACACGUAUGAAACACCCUCUAGGUGCAAGAAAACAGGGUAAGAUUGGAAGAAACAAGAAGAAGAGGAAAGCAUGGAGUAUUAACUGCAAAUGAACGGGGCAGUCCUUAGGAGGAUAAUUUUCUCCUUUUAAAUCUGGUGCCCAUAUUAAAAUUUCUCCCAGCAGCACGUGCAUGACUGAUACUUACUCAGCUGAUAGCGCAAAGCAACAGUGACCCUGGCACCAAUGCCGAGGCAAUAUUUACAAAAGGAUGAACUAUUUUCGAACAAUGUCUCCAAUGUACUAAGCACAAACAGGCUUUUCUUCAACAUCAGGCAUGCACGUUGUCUCGUUCCAACGAUUUUGUUCAUGUACAAAUGUAUUCAUUGUGGACAAUGCAAGGAAAAUGUCAUUCUCUAUUUAUAUCCCAGUUUCCCUUUGUCCUCUUUACAGUAUCUCGGGGCAGUGAUGCAGAGCAGAGUCUUGCUCUAAACUCAUGCUAUUUUCCUCCCUGUCUUCCUCCGAAGCUCUCGCAGUCGCGGAGCCGCAGAGAGUUAAAAGCAGCAGAUUUUUUUUUUUUUUUUUGAGACACAAAGAUUGGUCUCUCUCCCUCCUCUCUCCCUCCACCUCCCAACAGAGAAGAUCUAAGUCCUGCCUCUUGCUCCAUCACUCAGAGCACAUAAUGGUCUUGGCAGCGGAGGAUAUGGUGGUAGCAGCGUUUUGAGCUAUGUAAGUGGAUGCACCUGGCACAUCAGCGUGAAUAGGCGAUGUUAAGGCAAUUCUCCCCCAGUAAUGUAUGAAACCAUCCACUUCAUGAACAGCCUUUCUGUGAUAAAGGCUGCCUUUUUGUUGACUUGGAUAAGUUCCCCAGUAUGGUCAAAACAGAAUAAUGGAGGACUUUGAAAGAAGGGCCCUUGCACAGAAAAUAAUUAAUCUAGCAGCGGAGGGGCAGGGAGAAAGAUUUAGUGACACUUGAACACAAAAAACAAACCCCAAGUCUUAGGGCUAAACUAAAAGCAUGGGUGCAGACUCGCACUGUGUUUUCAUUGUAGAACAAAUCAUCUGUCCUGAAAGCAUCGUUCUUGGGCAGGUUGGCCACCUUUUUGGGUAGGAAUUAGGAACAUUAUUUCAAGUGACAUUUCAGGGAAAGGCUGUUUUGCCUUUCAAGUAUCGUCUGAUUUUCUCCAGGGUGGCAAUUUCCACUGCUCUCAAGUGUGGCAUUCAACUCUGGUAAGCUUCAGUUUAUUGGUAAACUGAUAAGCAUCAUUUUAGUACAUUUAAGCACAUCCUAAAAAAAUCAAUUGAUAAAACUCCUACUUCUACACUUAAAAUCACUUUAAAUUGGAAGCUCAACCUUAAGUGGAAUUUGCCUUUAAUAGAUUUCUGCAAUCUUUCCAACUAUGUGUAUACAAAGAAAAUAUUCAUACAUGCCUCAGAUGCAACAGUGAAAUGAAUAUAACGCAUUCCACAAGAAAUAGAAAAACGUGCAUUUCUGAAGAAAGCACAUGUGACUGUUUUCCAAUGUGAGACUUCUGAGGCCGGUACACCCACUUGAAUGGAUCUCCCAGUAAAGAACUUCCUUUAUACCCAGGAUUCAUAUCCAAUUCACUGUCAAGCAUCAAAACAUUCACUGAUCCUUAUAGACUUUGUAAAAAAUUCACUCUUUUUUCCCCAGAUAAAAUAUCUCAAUCAGGUUGAAGCAAUUUUGUUCUCUGAAAGAAAAGUUUGAGGCUUAAUGAAUAUUACUAGAUGAAAAAUUUUUAACCAUAUAAUGCAUUUUAGAUAAAGGUUAUAUAUAACACCAAAUAAAUGAACUCUUCUUGUAAUUCGUACUUCUAAUAAUGCAUGAUUUUAUAUGCUUUAGCACAUAAAAGAUUAGACAGCUUUAAAAUUUGAGCAGUGAAACUUUUAGCACAGCAUGAGAUGAAGAUAAGGAGUAUUCAGUCACUGAAAACAUCUUUCCUUCAUCACUGUCUUUCUCAUCCUGAAGGAAUUUUAAAAUUGCAAUUGAGCAAUUCUUAACUACUGGACAAAAAUAACUUCUAUUAGCUGGAAAACAUUAAGAUCUUUCAACUUUAGGGUAUAGAGAUAAACUGUCAUGUGAGUGCAUGCCUUAUCAUUCCCAUGAAUUGAAGUUUGACAAAGGUUGGUAAUGCUGACAUUUGGAGAGAUGAUUAAACCCCCUGAAUGAUUGAAAGCUAUGCAUAACCCUCAAGAUUAAAUGCUCAUCUAUUGUGGAUGUAUGCAAUAUAUAUGAUUUCAACAGUUAGCUGGCAGCAAUCAUUCAUUCUCUUUUUUCAUUAAAUUUUUAGAAAGUAGCAUCUCCUAAAGUUAAUAUUGGCAUCUCCAAAUAAGGUUAGUAUUGAAAUUCAAAUAAUUUGGUUGUAAUCUAGUUUUGGGGGUGUUUGGUUUUUUUUUCCCCCCCAAAAUGCCUAACAUUGCUUCAUUACCAUAUUGAAAACACUCAGACAAACAACUGAUUAGUCCUCUUUCAGAUAAUGAAAAACGUUUGGAAGUGUUUUAAUACCAUUUGAGUCUCUAGUGAACAGCGUGAAAAAUAUGCUCUUUUCAGCAAAGUUUUUAAAACUGUUUUCUCAAUUUGCGAAGAGUUUCACUAUAUACGUGUCAAUACAGAAGACCUUUUCUGUCAAAACGUGUCAUUUUAUCUAAGGGCAAGUCUUGGAAAAUGCUGCUUAGCAAGUUCUUUUAAUCAGAUGAUAUAUAAUGAAUGAUUGCAGCUAACAAUAUUUUAUGCUUUUGUUGGUUCUGCAGCAACCAGUGUUACUGUUUUUUGUAAUUUCACAUUUCUUAGCAACAAAAAAGUUUAACUUCUGUUGUUGGAAGCUAUACUAGGAUUAUUUUCACAAUCUGCUCAAUUUGUCUGUUCUUACAUCUGACAAUCCACCAUAAGCAACUGAGAAACAUUUUCUGCACAAGCUACAUUAAGCCUCAUGACAGUUAUUGCUAUCUUGGCUGAUCCAUUCAAAACCGUUUCUCCACUUAAUCCAAAAACCUAAAGCUCUUUUUUUUUAGGCUGCGUAUCUUGCCUUGUGGAAGGUGUGUUACCACUACAGUCAUGGUCAGAAUCCAGGUACAGAUGCAACAUGAUCGAAUAAAGUUACAUAGACUCAACAUUA